GCACAUCCUGCCUGGGGCCCGUCCAGGCACAUUGCUGGGGCUUGAGCACUUCUGCCUGCCUCUGUCAUCUCCUGCUUGAUGCAGAAGAUGCUGGGCUGAAAUGGCUGCUGGAGCCCUACAUAUGGAUGGACCCCACAGAACCACACAACUUUGCAGGGGAUCACACUGGACUCCUGGCGCUUACCCAGGAGUCUGUUAUCUGGCAGUGCUGAGGCAAGAGAGAUGGCCUGAUGGUUGUGGUUGUGGAAACUCAGUUGCACAGAAAAGCUUGACGGAAAGAGCAAGAUUCUCUCACACUUCCUAACAGCUCAAAAUAGCUGAUAAAUUCUCCAAACCCAAAGUCUGUCACGUUAAAAGUUUUUCCUCAUGUGGUGUGGGUCUGUGGAAGCAAUGAAAACAGAGGAUCUGACCUGGAUAGAUAAUAUGGGAAAGGUAAGGAGCAAGGAGAGG